rnacentral:rRNA from 1 species
AAUAGAUACCCCGGUAGUCCACGCCGUAAACGAUGUCGACUUGGAGGUUGUGCCCUUGAGGCGUGGCUUCCGGAGCUAACGCGUUAAGUCGACCGCCUGGGGAGUACGGCCGCAAGGUUAAAACUCAAAUGAAUUGACGGGGGCCCGCACAAGCGGUGGAGCAUGUGGUUUAAUUCGAUGCAACGCGAAGAACCUUACCUACUCUUGACAUCCAGAGAACUUAGCAGAGAUGCUUUGGUGCCUUCGGGAACUCUGAGACAGGUGCUGCAUGGCUGUCGUCAGCUCGUGUUGUGAAAUGUUGGGUUAAGUCCCGCAACGAGCGCAACCCUUAUCCUUUGUUGCCAGCGGUUCGGCCGGGAACUCAAAGGAGACUGCCAGUGAUAAACUGGAGGAAGGUGGGGAUGACGUCAAGUCAUCAUGGCCCUUACGAGUAGGGCUACACACGUGCUACAAUGGCAUAUACAAAGAGAAGCGACCUCGCGAGAGCAAGCGGACCUCAUAAAGUAUGUCGUAGUCCGGA